rnacentral:rRNA from 1 species
CAAGAGCGUAUGUCAAAGUUGUUGCAGUUAAAAAGCUCGUAGUUGAACCUUGGGUUUGGUUGGCCGGUCCGCUUUUUUGCGAGUACUGGAUUCAACCGAGCCUUUCCUUCUGGCUAACCAGUCGUUUCGGCGGCUGGCGAACCAGGAUUUUUACUUUGAGAAAAUUAGAGUGUUCAAAGCAGGCAUUAGCUUGAAUAUAUUAGCAUGGAAUAAUAGAAUAGGACGUUAUGGUUCUAUUUUGUUGGUUUCUAGGACCAUCGUAAUGAUUAAUAGGGACGGUCGGGGGCAUCAGUAUUCAGUUGUCAGAGGUGAAAUUCUUGGAUUUACUGAAGACUAACUACUGCGAAAGCAUUUGCCAAGGACGUUUUCAUUAA